rnacentral:rRNA from 1 species
AUUGAACGCUGGCGGCAGGCAUAACACAUGCAAGUCGAGCGGAGAGGAGGACGGGUGAGUAAUGCAUAGGAAUCUGCCUGGUAGUGGGGGAUAACGUCCGGAAACGGGCGAUAAUACCGCAUAAUAUCAGAUGAGCAUAGGUAGGAUUAGCUGGUUGGUGGGGUAAAGGCCUACCAAGGCGAAGAUCCGUAACUUGUCUGAGAGGAUGAUCAGUCACACUGGAACUGAGACACGGUCCAGACUCCUACGGGAGGCAGCGUUGGGGAAUAUUGGACAAUGGGCGAAAACCUGAUCCAGCCAGGCCGAGUGUGUUAAGAAGUUCUUCGGAUUGUAAAGCACUUUAAGUUGGGAGGCGUUACCAACAGAAUAAGCACCGGCUAACUUCGUGCCAGCAGCCGCGGUAAUAC